rnacentral:RNase_MRP_RNA from 14 species
UGAGGAAAGUUCCCGUGCCUUGGUGCAGAGAGUGCGAGUGGGAAACCACAGGGCUCGUGCCAGACCUCCAGUGGUGAUGCUUGUGGCAGAGCCUUGGUGGAAGGCUCGGGCCUUUCGCAGCAGCACAGACAUGCCGUGAGCGCUCAUGAUUUGAGCGCCAACAGAACGGGGCUCACUCUCC